ensembl:lncRNA
AUGGAGGCCCACUUCAGCUCCUGCUGGCAGCGUGGUGGCCGGCUGGGCCCUGGGAUCCACUGCUGGGAUCCGCAUCUCACAACUGAGGCUCUGGUCCUUCAUUGUGUGAAGAGUAAGAGGAAUGCCCUGGCCCUCAACUUUGAAAGACUUGUAAUGGAACCUCUAAGAAAACAUUACCCACCUGGACAAAUAAGAACCAUGCUGGAUGGUGCUGGAAGUUGUGGACAAGGUCACAGAGUGCCCUGCUGGAAGCAGUAUUUUGGAAAGGAUAAUCGGGAAGCAGUUAUAAUGAGUGGAGUAAGGGGAAGAAUGAAAGAAGAAUACCCAAUGCGUAGAAACCAACUUCUAUCAUGGAAGUUCAGCCCUGUCAAAUCCCCCUUGGAAUGGAUGGACAGACAAGUCAGCACACUUGAGCAGAGGAAGUUCCUUGCAAACGUCAGCAGAGAAGCUAAGGUAUAGACUUGGAGUAACCUCUCACUCUGACCCCUGGUGACAAGACGGAUAGUUCCAUUCAUCUAUGG